GCGGAUGGGUGAGUAACGCGUAGGCAACCUGCCCGGGAGACGGGGAUAACCCACCGAAAGGUGAGCUAAUACCCGAUGAUGCAGCGGCCCCGCAUGGGGACAGUUGUUAAAGGCCUUCGGGCGCUUUUGGAUGGGCCUGCGUGUCAUUAGCUGGUUGGUGAGGUAACGGCUCACCAAGGCGAUGAUGACUAGGGGGUCUGAGAGGAUGAUCCCCCACACUGGGACUGAGACACGGCCCAGACUCCUACGGGAGGCAGCAGUGAGGAAUCUUGCGCAAUGGAGGAAACUCUGACGCAGCCACGCCGCGUGCCGGAAGACAGCCCUAUGGGUUGUAAACGGCUUUUGAUAGGGAAGAACCUGGACCGUUCGCGGACCACUGACGGUACCUAUCGAAUAAGCACCGGCUAACUCCGUGCCAGCAGCCGCGGUAAUACGGAGGGUGCAAGCGUUGUCCGGAAUCAUUGGGUUUAAAGGGUCCGUAGGCGGGUCGAUAAGUCAGUGGUGAAAUGCAGGGGCUCAACUCCGGCACUGCCAUUGAUAC
rnacentral:rRNA from 1 species